GAGAAAAGUGCAGUACAGAGAGAGAGAGAUGGUGAUCGGCGCGUGUGGAGGAGAGAGAUUGGCCGUGGUGGAAUUUACCGACGGUAAAACGGUGACUUGAGAGGUAAAUAAAUCGCAGCAACUUCUGAGACCACUCGAUGACUCCCACUCAAUGGACUUUUCACCUGUUGGCUUUUGGGCCGUUCGAUUAUGUUUCCUUUAUACUCCAGAGCCCCAUUAAGGUUCACUUAUUAUUUUGUUUUCUUAUAAAUUUAAUAUGUUUUACAUUUCUUUUUGGGUCGAAUAUAUGUUUUACAUUUAUAUUAAGUUUUAAAGAUUUAUUUAACAGAUUAUUGUUUUAAUAGAUAAGAUAAUGUUAUUUAUUUUAAAAUAAAUAUAUAAUUCAAGAUUUAUAAAUAUGAUUGGUUAAACAUUUAUUUGAAAACAAAAACAAAGCAAAAAUAUUUAUAGUUUGUGUGAAAAAAAACUCAAAAUGUGGCAACUAGAUCGGUUUUUGCAUUACUUUUUUCUUAAUCAUGUUUAUCAUUUUAUCUAUUAAAAUAAAAGUCAUCACUUCUUUCAUAUGUGACUUUUUGAUAUGAACUAUCUUUUGAAAAUUUUAUUAAAUGUAUUUAUUUAAUGUUAAUAAUAAUUAAAAAUUGUUUAACUAAUUUAAUCAUAAUACUUUUUGAUAUUUUUAUUUUAGAUAUAUAUAUAUAAAUAUAAGUCUAACAAAUCUGUUGAAAGGGAUGAGAUUAUAAAAAAAUCUUAACUAUCAAAAAUUUUAUAUAAAUAUUUUCAUUAAUUUUAUAAUCUUAUAAUAGUAAAUUGAUAAAUUAAUAUAUUGUAAAUUGAACUAAAUAUGAUAAACUUAUAUUAAAUUGAUAAGUUAAUUGAAUUCAUUAAAUAAUAAACACAAUUUCAAUAAAUAUGUAAUAAAAAACGACAAAUAUAUCUGCUGGUUUGAAACAAUUAAUAAACUUAUAACAUAGAAACUAUAAAACUAUUGUAUUUGAAAUAUUUAUAUAAAUAUUUAAAUAUAUGAUUAACAUUUUAAAUAUAUACUACUAAUCAUGUAAAACAAAUAUAUGAUCAACACAAUUUGUAUCCAAACCUUACUGUGGAUUUCCUUAUUGAUUCCACUUCGCGAAAAUGGAAUUCUCAGGUUAUUCGGACUUUGGUAGACCCACAAGAUGUGAAAAUCACAGAGAGCAUACCACUAAGUAGAAACCAGAUGGUAGAUAGGGAAUAAUGACAUUUCACAAAUAAUGGAAAAUUUACGGUUAAAUCAAGAUAUCAAGUAGAGAGGAUUUACCCGGAUAGGGAAAGAUCACCAGUAUUAAUUGGACCUACAGUUGAUGUUCUGAAGGCAUUUUGUUGAAAACUAAGGUGUCCACUAAGGUGUCCACCAAAAAUAAAACAUUUUCUUUGGCAAUUGGUUUUAGGGUGUGUCGCAGUUAAGAAGAAUUUGCAGGCACGAGGGAUCCAAAAAGAUAUAUGUUGUGCAAGAUGUGGAACGGAUGAGGAGUCGAUUAAUCAUGUGUUUUUUUAGUGUCCUCCAACAAUUCAGGUUUGGGCGCUGUCAAAGAUACCAACAAAUCCAACUAUUUUCCCAACAAGCUCUAUAUUUACAAACAUGGAUCACUUUUUCUGGAGAGUUGCUCCACCGAUGGAGGAUCAUCACUUUGCUUGGAUAUUUUGGUACAUUUGGAAAGAAAGAAAUAAUAAGAUUUUUAGUAAUCUCGAUAUGGAUCCUAGAGACACUCUUAAGUUGGCAGAAACGGAAUCCACACUCUGGGCAGAGGCACAGAUUUUGAAAGACCAGAACACGGGAACACAGGUUUAGGCAUCUCUACCGUCAAUUCCUGGAAGAUGGUGUUUUACAAAUGGAUCAUGGAAAGAGGGGGAUAUGUUCUCUGGUCAGGGUUGGUUCAGUAUUUUAGAAGGUUUUGAAGGUCUAAUGGGAGCAAGGAAUGUAAGGGCUUCUUUAACUCCCUUGCAUGCAGAGAUGGAGGCGCUACUAUGGGCUAUGAAAUGUAUGAAGAAUUUACGUCAGUUCCAGGUUACGUUUGCAAUGAAUUGUUCUCAAUUGGUGAAGAUGGUUUCGGAAUCAGAAGAGUUGCCAGCUUUUGCAAGUUAUUUGAAAGAUAUCAAGAAAGCUUCACGCGAUCAGGGAUUAUACAUGUACCAAAAACGCAAAAUACAAAGGCGGAUAACCUAGUACGCAGUGUCAGGAAACAAACGUCUUUUGUCGUUCACAUGGAUCGAUAUCUUCCGGUGUAGUUUACAGAGUCAAUAUAAAUCUGUAAUGUUGUGGACAAAAAAAAGAAAAAAAAAGUGAAAAUUAUUGCGCGGAUCAAUUCUAGUUAAACAAUCAAAAUACUUUUAUGGUAUGGAACUAAAAUACUUUAGCCCUACUAUUCAUUACGUUCGGAGAAAAAACUCUAUGUGAUAAUCAACUUCUGGUGUGUAUAUAUAUAUAAUUGAAUUUGUAUAAGAUAUUCAAAAGUCUAUUGCGUUAAAAAAAGAAACAUGGAUCUUUUCACAACUUUUGUAAGUUUUUGUCAUAAAAUGAAUAGUUCAAAACUUCACUGUUUUAAUAUGAUCAGUCAAUGGAAUUUCGAAUAUAUACCCAGUCUUCUUCCACAGUUGCAAAACAUCACUCAAAUAAUUCUCUGAUCUUUGGGAAACAAUUAUAUUGGUAUCAGUUUACC